ACAUGCUUACAACACAACAUUAAUGCAACGAAUCCCAUUAGAAAUUUGCAGUUAAGCACACUUAGGAUAUAGUAGUACUGGGAUGGGUGACCACCUAAGAAGUCCUAGUUUUUUACAUGCC
rfam:Picea glauca, whole genome shotgun sequence.